UUCACCCCUCAAAACGUUCUCCCUCGAACGCUUAUGCGAGCUUUCCAUUCUCUCUCUCCUCCCUUCCUUCGUUCUCUCUCUGCGAGUAGCCCUUGAGGAAGAGAAUGCCCGUGAAGCCUGUGAAAGCCUUAGGUCCAAGAAGAAAAAGACGCCCACAACAGCCCUCGCUCCAUCGCCAUUAUCAUUAUUACAGAGAUUGAAGCCACGAGUCGGCAGUUUUCAGCUCUCCCAUUGCCAAACAAGUGAAAUUACCAGCAGCACAGUUUAUCAAACAGGGUUUCCCGCUUUCACCCUAUCAAUUUUCACUUGCAUCCUAGAAUCUAGGAAGUUAGCAGCAGGGUUGAUUCCCAGGGACACUGCAGUGAAAGUUAUCAAACCCUACCUAAAGGGUGAGGCCAUCUGAGAAAAGAGAGGUUCAACUCAGAGAGAGUAAUGGAGUGCGUUUUUGGACUCGUAGGUGAUGGGUUCGCUUUGAUAGCUGCUGAUACAUCAGCCGUGCACAGUAUUUUAGUUCAUAAACAAAACGAGGAUAAGAUCAUGAUCCUCGACUCGCAUAAGCUCAUGGGCGCGAGUGGAGAGAGUGGAGAUAGAGUUCAAUUCACUGAAUACAUUCAGAAGAAUGUUCACCUUUAUCAAUUUCGCAAUGGCAUCCCCCUCACUACUCCAUCCACAGCAAACUUCACUCGUGGUGAGCUCGCCACUGCCUUGAGGAAGAACCCUUACUUUGUGAACAUCCUCCUAGCUGGCUAUGACAAAGAGACGGGUCCAUCUCUCUACUUCAUUGACUACAUAGCUACCCUCCACAAAGUCGAUAAGGGGGCAUUUGGAUAUGGAUCUUACUUUUCGUUGUCAAUGAUGGAUCGCCACUAUCACAGGGGCAUGUCUUUGGAAAAGGCAGUGGACCUAGUCGACAAAUGCAUAAUGGAGAUUCGGUCCAGACUUGUAGUGCCCCCCCCCCAAUUUUGUCAUUAAAAUCGUGGACAAAGAUGGAGCAAGAGAGUAUGCAUGGCGGGAAACCGUGAAAGAUGCAGAAGAAAGAUAUAAGAGCAAACUGUUCUGAUACUUUUGAAAUCGCUAAAUGGUGGGAGGUAAAAUUGCUUCAAAAGUGGUUUGGCGGGUUAGAUGGUGUCUCUUACCAGCUAGAGAGAGAGACUGGCUUAAGCAUAUCAUCCGCCACUGUGUAUAUUGCGUCAUGAUAUUCCCGGAUCAGAUCACUGGGUUUUUAGUAUGGGAUUGGAAGUCAACUGGAGAAACCACUAUUAAUGAUGGGUAAAAGAUUAUGGGAAGACAAUCCCUUGUUUUCUAGCUCUCGUAGGGACCUUUUAUUUGAUUCGACCUUCAAAACCAGCUGGUCGGACUGGGCAACCACAAAGUUUGAAUGCAACUGGGCAUGUUUAUGUUUUGGGACCACAAAAGUGAGUGGUCAACCCAUUUAGAAUUA